UACGCUCCAGCAAUUUUCCCGCCUCGUCC
rnacentral:sRNA from 1 species